rnacentral:rRNA from 1 species
UGGGGAAUAUUGGACAAUGGGCGAAAGCCUGAUCCAGCGACGCCGCGUGGGUGAAGAAGGCCUGCGGGUUGUAAAGCCCUUUCGGUGGGGAAGAAAAGCCUCGAGCUAAUACCUCGGGGUCUUGACGUAACCCAUAGAAGAAGCACCGGCUAACUCUGUGCCAGCAGCCGCGGUAAUACAGAGGGUGCGAGCGUUAAUCGGAAUUACUGGGCGUAAAGCGCGCGUAGGCGGCUUUGCAAGUCGGGUGUGAAAUCCCCAGGCUUAACCUGGGAACUGCAUUCGAGACUGCAUUGCUAGAGUAUGGGAGAGGGAAGUGGAAUUUCCGGUGUAGCGGUGAAAUGCGUAGAUAUCGGAAGGAACAUCAGUGGCGAAAGCGACUUCCUGGACCAAUACUGACGCUCAUGUGCGAAAGCGUGGGGAGCAAACAGGAUUAGAUACCCUGGUAGUCCACGCCAUAAACGAUGAGAACUGGAUGUCGGGAGGGUCUGCCUCUCGGUGUCGUAGCUAACGCGUUAAGUUCUCCGCCUGGGGAGUACGGCCGCAAGGUUGA